rnacentral:rRNA from 1 species
GACGAACGCUGGCGGCGUGCUUAACACAUGCAAGUCGAGCGAUGAACCUUUCAUGAAUUUUUCGGAAUGAUUGGAAGAGGAUUAGCGGCGGACGGGUGAGUAACGCGUGAGCAACCUGCCUUAAACAACGGGAUAGCCUCGGGAAACCGGGAUUAAUACCGUAUGAGACCCCGCCUUCACAUGAAGAAGAGGUUAAAGAUUUAUCGGUUUAAGAUGGGCUCGCGUCUGAUUAGCUAGUUGGUGAGAUAAAAGCCCACCAAGGCAACGAUCAGUAACCGGCUUGAGAGAGUGAACGGUCACAUUGGAACUGAGACACGGUCCAAACUCCUACGGGAGGCAGCAGUGGGGAAUAUUGCACAAUGGGGGAAACCCUGAUGCAGCGACGCCGCGUGAGCGAUGAAGGAAUUCGUUUCGUAAGCUCUGUCCAAGGGGAAGAUAAUGACAGUACCCUUGGAGGAAGCCCCGGCUAAAUACGUGCCAGCCGCCGCAGUAAAAC